AACAUUUAUGUAAAGAAACCGAAUUAAUAUAAUUUGGUAGGAAGUGCAUACACGGACCUACAAGUUUGUGUGUACUCUCAUAUUUUUUUACAAUUUUAGUUUUAGCUUCGAUGCGAAGCUGAGAAGGUAUUGGUUUUACUAAGAUGUGUUUAUUUUUUUCUUUUUUCUUUUUUGUGUCUGUUACCACUUUUUCUCAGCUCUCACCGAACGGAUUUCUUUCAACAAUACGUCAAAAGAUCACAAAUCGUAUCUAGUCGAAGACAUUACCCUCAAAAAUUGAAAAAAUUUCCCUCGUUCCCCCUGUGCUGGGUUUUUUUUAUAAGUGUAGUUAUAUAGUUAUAUAUAGUGUAAUUAUAAAAACUGUUUUUUUAUUUUAUUACAGUAUGCCAUUGUAAAAAAGAAAAAAUAGAACAACAAAGUUCUAAAAAAGAUGUUGAAAUUUACGCUAUUUGUUAUGAUGAAGUAAGCAAUGAUCGUUAUGUGGCACCGUGUAAACAUGAAUUUUGUAAAAUAUGUAUAGAUCAAUGGUUAGAUAUUGGAAGAACAUGUCCAACAUGCCGACAUUUAAUCAAAGAAAAUAAUGAUUCGGAUUACUCAAGUUCUGAAGAGGAAAAUUAUCGGGAUAAUAUUCGUAACAUUAUUAGGCGAGAACUGCUGUCAAUUAAUCGCGUUGAUAAUUAUAAGUUUGACUAUUCACUGCGUAAAUUAAUUUUAC